AUUGAACGCUGGCGGCAUGCCUUACACAUGCAAGUCGAACGGCAGCACGGGUGCUUGCACCUGGUGGCGAGUGGCGAACGGGUGAGUAAUACAUCGGAACAUGUCCUGUAGUGGGGGAUAGCCCGGCGAAAGCCGGAUUAAUACCGCAUACGAUCUACGGAUGAAAGCGGGGGACCUUCGGGCCUCGCGCUAUAGGGUUGGCCGAUGGCUGAUUAGCUAGUUGGUGGGGUAAAGGCCUACCAAGGCGACGAUCAGUAGCUGGUCUGAGAGGACGACCAGCCACACUGGGACUGAGACACGGCCCAGACUCCUACGGGAGGCAGCAGUGGGGACUUUUGGACAAUGGGCGAAAGCCUGAUCCAGCAAUGCCGCGUGUGUGAAGAAGGCCUUCGGGUUGUAAAGCACUUUUGUCCGGAAAGAAAUCCUUGGCCCUAAUACGGUCGGGGGAUGACGGUACCGGAAGAAUAAGCACCGGCUAACUACGUG
rnacentral:rRNA from 1 species